CCAGGUGCUAAAAUCUUAUGUGUCAAGGGCAUUGUGAUGGCGCGAUCCAUGUCUCCUACGAGCGCUCGACAUCCCGUAGCCCCAAAGAGGAGGGCUCCAAGGUUGGACAACAAGUUUCACUGGAUGAAAGCAUUUCCCUUCUAAAACAGAGUGUUGCUGACAUGAAUGCACAAGUUAGUCUUGAUACUAAGAUGGUCAUGGAAUUGCUUGAUCUAUGCUAGGUCAACAUGUCAGCCAACCACUUAAAAAUAAUCAAUUGCAUUUCUUCCUCUGAAAGAACCUUCCCCACUCGCUCCUGAACCUUAUAAUGUGCCUUUGUGUGUAUAUUUAAUCAUUCACGAAAACCUGAUUUCUAUUUUAUGGUCUGAUUGGAGAGGACUGAUAAUCGUGAGCCAAAUAACAUGUGCAUUUGUUGUGACUAAAUACUACACCAAAUAUAUUUGUA